rnacentral:rRNA from 1 species
UACGAAGGGGGCUAGCGUUGCUCGGAAUCACUGGGCGUAAAGGGCGCGUAGGCGGAUCUUUAAGUCGGGGGUGAAAGCCCAGGGCUCAACCCUGGAAUUGCCUUCGAUACUGAAGAUCUCGAGACCGGAAGAGGUAAGUGGAACUGCGAGUGUAGAGGUGAAAUUCGUAGAUAUUCGCAAGAACACCAGAGGCGAAGGCGGCUUACUGGUCCGGUUCUGACGCUGAGGCGCGAAAGCGUGGGGAGCAAACAGG